rnacentral:rRNA from 1 species
AUGCAAGUCGAGCGACGGACCUUCGGGUUACGGAGCGGCGAACGGGUGAGUAACACGUGAACAACCUACCCUCUCAUUCCGGAUAAUUGGCUGAAAAGCCUUGUAAUACGGGGGAGGUUCCAACUUGGGCAUCCUUGAUGGAACGAACAGGUAACUGGUGCGAGGAGGGGUUCGCGGAUUAUCAGCUAGUUGGUGAGGUAAUGGCCCACCAAGGCUACGACGAUUAGCUGGUCUGAGAGGAUGGUCAGCCACAUUGGAACUGAGAUACUGUCCAGACUCCUACGGGAGGCUGCAGUCGAGAAUCUUGGGCAAUGCACGAAAGUGUGACCCAGCGACGCCGCGUGGAGGAUGAAGGCCCUCUGGGUUGUAAACUCCUUUUACGGGAGAAGAAUCAAUGACGGUACCCCGUGAAUAAGCCACGGCUAACUACGUACCAGCAGCCGCGGUAAUACGUAGGUGGCAAGCCUUGUCCGGAUUUACUGGGCGUAAAGCGAACGCAGGCGGACUGUUAAGUAGGAAGUGAAAGGUCGGAGCUCAACUCCAACAUUGCUUCCUAUACUGGCAGUCUUGAGUAGCGGAGA